CAGAAAUCAAUGUUUACUGCAGAGAACACAGAAGCCAGCAAGCAGCAGGGAAGGGAGGUGUCGCAGCGAGCAUGUCGGGCAGGCUGGGAACCAGCGCAGUGGCCCACGCGGACCGAGGAGGACACGCAGAGCAAGUCACAGGAAGCGCAGCUGCAAACAGACGCUUAUCCCAAAUGCACAGGACACUUACCAAGGACUGAUGGUCUCAGAGUCAUGCUCAACAGCUUUGGCUGGCAGGACACUUAAAGUUUUGGACAACAGAAAGUAACAGUGGAAAAGGGGACAUCUGCCCCAACACGAGAGGCCAAGACCACAGCUGUUACAGGAGGGGUCAGCGCCGUAGUACACGGGUGGCGGCGGCUGCACAUGCGUGCCUGGGGAAUGAGAGUGUUCAGACAUGCCAGGUGCCCAGCCUGGGGAAUGAGAGUGUUCAGACAUGCCAGGUGCCCAGCCUGGGGAAUGAGAGUGUUCGGACAUGCCAGGUGUCCAGCCUCACCAGGAAACAGGCACACGGGGACAGAGGUGCACACACUGAAAACUCUCACUGAAUCCACUCGCCUGAGCGGUGGCCACGGGAGCACGGUGCUGUACUCCCCACAAACCUGAACCUGGGCCCCAGGGCGAGAGGCAUGGAAGGUGCAGGGGUGCAGGGAUGUGCACCUGUCCAGGUGAAGUAGGGGCUGCCAGCUCAGAGGCAUGUCCAGGAACCCCCAUCAGGCCAGAGCCCUGCCCUGAGCCGCCUGCAGGGGUGACUGUGGGACAGCAGCGUUAGACCCAGUCUUGGCUGUGAGGUCGCUCCCACUGCCACGCACGACCCUGGGAUUCUGUCAAGGUGGGGGCCGUCUGCUCGGCCCGGGCUCCCUGACCAUGUGGCUGGGUUUGCAGAGGAAACCAGGAGAGUGCCAACACCAGGCUCUGUAAGCACGAGGCUCCCUGCCGGCCCCAUCCCAGAGUGCACCCCCAUCCUUCCCGCAUCCCUGGGCUCAGCUGUUCCUCACUGACC
rnacentral:lncRNA from 1 species